UAUGAAGUGUUGUUUUACUUCCUGAGGGC
rnacentral:piRNA from 1 species